GUAGCGUUGCGCUUGGAUGGCCCUGGUACCCAGUCGCUCUUGUCGCCGGUGGCCUCCGAGCCUCCCCGUUAUUGACCCCAGCCUGCUGAAUCAGAGGGUUGGAUCAUUUUGUUUCUGAUUAAGUUUGAUUAUGUGAUAAAUGACUACUGAGGAAAAAUAUGAAGCAUGAAAUCAGAAAACAGCAACAAUCAACCUGAAGGUAUAGUCUAAAACCAUUGGGCAGGCCAGAUUUAGAAGGGGCAGUUCCUAGACUGCUGCAACAUCUACAGAAGAAAGGAUGGGCUCUGAACAGUACUAAGCUUCAGGGACCUGGUUUGUCUGUAAAGUUCUUGGGGGUUGUCUGGUCCGGUAAAACUAAAUUUACCCCAGAAGCAGUUUUAGACAAGGUCCAGGGUUUCCCUACCCCUACCACUGUGGCAGUAUUACAAGAGUUUUUGGGUCUUUUGGGCUACUGGAGAGUGUUUAUCCUGCACUUGGCACAAAUUCUGAAGCCUUUUUAUCCAUUGGUAUGAAAGGGCAUCAGGUGGGAUUGGGAUGAGACAUGUGCAGCUGCUUUUACUGCUGCCAAGCAGGCAGUCAAUGCCGUACAGGCCUUGAAUAUAAUGGACUCAUCAAGGCCCUGUGACCUAGAUGCUCAUGUAACCAAAGAUGGUUAUGGAUGGGGCCUUUGGCAAUGGCUUAAACAGAUGCGCCAACCUAUUGGAUUCUUGUCACAACUAUGGAAAGCAGCAGAGGUCCAGUACACCUUGAGAGAGAAGACCUGGUUGAUGUGUACCAUGCCUUGCUGGCUACAGAGCCCAUCACUGGAACAGCUCUGACCAAGGUAAUAACCACCUGUCCCACUGCAGGGUAGGUACAAGACUGGACCCAAAGGCCACAGAGUAGCAUGGCACAGAUGUCUACACUGGCCAAAUGGGAUGCAUAUUUACAGCAGUGUAGCACCCUCUGUACUAGCCCCUUAAGUGGAGAACUCCAAUGCUUAUAGGGGCCAUUGAGUAUACCAGUGGAAAGCAGGAAGAACUUGUUUUUGAGCCAUUGGUAGCUGAAAGGCCUUAUAAGCAGGGAAAAGCCCCUGAAGAUUCUUGGUAUACAGAUGGCUCCAGUCGUGGGCAGCCCUUGAAGUGGAGGGCUGUGGCUUUCCAUCCUAAGAUUGAGACAAUAUGGAUGGAGGAUGGAGAGGGGAAGAGCAGCCAAUGGGCUAAGUUGUGGGCAGUAUGGCUCAUGAUCACACAGGAGCCCUCCAGUAUAGUUGUCAGCACUGACAGCUGGGCUGUCUAUAGGGGCUUGACCCUAUGGCCUCCAACAUGGUACCAUGCCAACUGGAUGGUUGGUCACUGCCCCCUUUGGGGACAAGAGCUGUGGUAAGACCUAUGGGCCUCUGGCCAGACUACGACUGUUACUAUAUAUCAUGUGACUGCCAUUUGCCUUUGGCAUCCCCAGGGAAUGAUGAAGUGGACACACUGGCCCAGGUGCACUGGCUAAAAGGAAAGCUUGCCUCUGAUGAGCCCAAUGGUUACAUCAGCAUUUGUUGCAAGCGGGGCAAAAGACAAUGUAGCCUGUCAGUGGUGCUUGCCGUAGACCUUUGGAGAAGUCAGCAGAGCCCGGAAGGGGUACCUUGUAUGCUCUAAGUGAAAUUUACACUGAGUCCUGCAGCAACAUGGUAUGAUAGUAAAGGAGCUAAUACCCCUUGUCAGGUGGCAGAUAGACUAUAUUGGGCUUCUGCCCAUAUCAGAAGGAUAUCAGUAUGCCAUGACUUGUGUGGACACAGCUACUGGAUUGUUGGUUGCUUUUCCUGCACGUCAUGCAGAUCAGCAAACCACCAAGACGGUCCUAGAGCAUCUCUUUGCAGCCUACAGCCAGCCGCAGGUGAUUAGGAGCGAUCAAGACACCUAUUUUACUGGACAUGCGUUACAAGAAUGGGUGCAGCAAUUAGGAAUAAAGUGGAAGUUUCAUGUACCAUAUAACCCUACUGGGGCAGGCAUGAUAGGUAUGGUGGUUUGUUGAAAUCUGGCCUGAAGUUGGACACCAGUAGUCUACGGGGCUGGUCAGUUCAUUUAUGGACAGUGCUAUGGCAUUUGAAUGAGAAACCCCGAAAGGAGCCUUGAGCCUGUGGAUAUGCUCACACACCUUGCUGCCUCUCCUAUAGAACUGUAUGUGCAAACCAAAGAGGAGUUAUUGAAGCCAGGAUAUGGCCAGCAAAGCAACAUCCUGCUGCCAGCCCCAACUGCAUUAAACCCUGGAGACUCUGUUGAGUGGACAUGGCCCUGGACAUCUCAACACAUGGACCAGGGAUGGCUGGCCCUUCUGGCAUCUUGAGGUAAAGGCCUGGAAGUUGGCCUCCUGUGUAUUCCUGGAAUAACAGCAGAGUGGCCCCCAAAGACCACAGUAGUGUACCCAAAACAUCUGGGAGGUAAGAGCAUCUUACAGGGAUGUUUUGGUCUAUUUUUAUGGCCAGUGCAUGUACCUCCCAUAGCCCUAUAUAUUGACCCAUCUGUAAUUCCCACAGGGAGGGGGUUUAAGUCUGGUAUACUAGAGCAGGUCAGGAUCCCAUUCCUGCCACUGUCCUAUCCCAGGACCACUCUCUCGCAUGCAUCCUACCUGAUGGGCAACAUUUGCCUAUGCUGGUGUCAUUAAAACGUGUAUCUUAUUGCCCUUAAGGUUACUGUCUUCUACAGUCCCUGUGGCCUGGACGCACCCCCUAACUGCAACUGCCAUGUGAUGAUUUUUGAACUCCCUUCCUGUUCAGCUGCUGACUGCCUGUGGAGUGGGUGAGCUAUGGACUUAAUCUGCAUAGGACUUUGA